GACGAACGCUAGCGGCAGGCCUAAUACAUGCAAGUCGAACGGUAAGGAUCCCUUCGGGGAUUACACGAGUGGCGCACGGGUGCGUAACGCGUAUGCAACCUACCCUCCAGAGGGGGAUAUCCAGUGGAAACGCUGAUGAAUACCCCAUAUAAUCCUAAAGUCGAAUGGUUUAAGGAUGAAAGUUCUGGCGUUGGGGGAUGGGCAUGCGUCCCAUUAGCUAGUUGGUGAGGUAAUUGCUCACCAAGGCAACGAUGGGUAGCUGGUCUGAGAGGAUGAUCAGCCACACGGGCACUGAGACACGGGCCCG
rnacentral:rRNA from 1 species